rnacentral:lncRNA from 1 species
ACAUGCUUUUACAUAAAAAUUCUUCCACAUUAGAGUGAAGGGUUAAAGAGCUUAGUGCCUGCACUUAAGUCUUAAGUAAUCGAAAAACAAAAUAAUUAAGUCAAGCACUAUUCCUCCUGUCUACACUUCACCUUUGUUCCAGAGUUUUUCAUAAGUUUUUAAAAUAAAACUCAGAGUUCCCAGCAAUGAUUCUCUCAAGUCUCUCUAUAUGUAGUAUUUGUGGAUCCUUACCAAAAUGUCACUUACCUAUAGCUAAAGGAAUAUUUAAGUGGAGCUCAUAGUAGUGAAAACAGCUCAUACAUAUGUUGCCUAAUCGAGCCAUGGAUCCAAAGGAACUCAGCAUAUAAUUAAAUCAAGAUGUGCAUGUGUGGUGGAGUAAAUGAUAGUGAUGGUGAAGAUAUAUAAGUGAUAAUAAAACUUAAUUCUUAUUGCUCCUCAUAUUGCUAUCUCUCCUCUUCUUUGAUCUUUGCUUUGGGAGAAUAUGGGCUAUCUUUUUUUUUCUUUUUUUUCAGGUGGGUAGUAGAUACCCCUAAUUCUACUGUCGGACACUUGUCCAUUUUUUACCGCUCAAGUGGGCAUCUUUGUACCCCUAAUUCUACUUCGGACACUUGUCCAUUUUUACCUCUCGUCUCACUCUUUUUCUUUCUUUUUCGAGGUUCCGGGCACUUGCCCCUUUUUAUUUCCUCGCAUAUUUUUGCAUAACCCAUGCCUCUUCUGCAUUGAAUCUUUUUGGAAAGAGAGAAUAACAAUACUUGGGACAGUGAGUGAUAAUAUUUUUAGCAAUUUUAAUGAAUGGGGAUGAAUGGUGUAGUGGAUCUGUGCAAGUGAAUAUCUUAAUUUAACCACAUGAAAAGCUUCUAAGGGUCUACACAGCUCGAUCAAACUCAAUGUAAAUAUAGUAAAAGAUGUUAUAGCAAGUAUGGCUGUGGUAGGUAGUUUGUUAUGCUAGGAACACAUCAUGUGAUUUGUAAGUUUUCAAAAUAAAUCUCUAGAACUUAGUGUAGUAGGAACAAGAUAAACAGCAGCUCAAACUUUACAUUAUGCCUUUCUCUUACCUAGACUUUAGUUUUAUGCUUCCUAAAGAUAGUAAUUUUAGUUUUAGUAAUUCCUAGAAGAACUCUAAUAUAGAAGCUAGGUACUUGAAAGUAAGCAAACAGAGCAACUGUUCAUCAUUUCCAUCAUACAUCUUUUUGGUCUUUUUAUUUUUUUCUAGAGAUUAAACUUAGCAGGAAAAUAAAGCACACUUGUCUACGCACUCUUUUUAUUUUGUUUUCAUGUUUAUAAAAUGUAGUAAAUUUAAGCAAGAAAAUAUUUAUUUGGUUUGCUAAGUUUUUCCUUUUAAGAUAAAAUACUAAAAUAGAAAAGAAUAAAUAAGAAGAGCAAAUAAAAACUUACUUGAUAAAUUGGGGAGGAACUCCCCCAAGCUGGAUGUUGUCGUCGGUCUUACCCGAUGUUCCAGAACCGCAUCAUGGUUGUGAUGUUGUCGUUCAUUGUUCUUGUCUCUUGUCUCAGCUCUUGUACUGCAGCGGCAUGGUCCUGGUUCCAUUUUUUUGCUCUUCCAGGAGUCUUCCAUGUUCUGCUUGCUUGUUCUGGAUGUUGAGGAGGGUGUUGUCGGUACAAGUGAAGAAAGCACCGGCCUCUUGAUAGUAGUCAUUCGUGAAAGCGUAGGAGGCGUCGGAGUAUCGUCCUGCAUCAAAUUGGGGUGGAGGUCUAGAUCCUGAAGCUCCAUAUGGAUCAGUGGAGUACCUGCCCGUAUGAAAAGGCGGGUUUGUCCACUGGUGAUCUUGGCUCUCCGGCCAUGUCUCCUCUGUUGGCUCUUGUGGUUGCGCAUGUCGAACCCAUGGGUCUCGAAGGACUCGAGGGUUGUAAUCGCAAUAAUGCAGGUGCGCUGCUUCUUCUGGUCCAGGGUCAGCUCCAUACUAGGUGCGUUCUCGGUGGGUGGUCAUCCUUUCAGAUGCCACUCACUGUGGAGCUCUCUGGUUUACUGGUGUUGCUGCAAUCUCAAUCAAAAAGUUUUGAACAAUGUAGAGGCCAAGGUUCAGGUUAGGUAACCAAAUCUUGCCUUUAUGAUCAUAUAGCAUAUAUAUUAGAUUCCCCUCUUUCUUUAACAUCCGAGCUUGCCUAAAUGUGUCAUAGCCAUGAUAAAUUCUUAACUCAACUAUGAAGUCCAACGAUGAGUUUUCUAGUAAGUGAAGAUUAAAUGCUAGACGAGUGAUAAGUGAAGUACAUCCUACUGGUCCCAGAAGACUAGGUAUACUAAGCCAAUGAGAAACUAAUAGUGUAACAGGUGAAGUGGGUACUUUAUUAAUAGCAGCAUAUAAAAGUUGUAAAUCUCCUACUCUUACUUUCCUAAUAUCAUCACGAUAGAAAAGAUUGUACCCAAGCCAUUUGUGGAACAUCCUGAGAGUGGGGUGUUCCAUGUCACUGGUUCGGGCUUGACUAUAAAAAUUAUCUCUAGAUAUUUCUCUCCAAAACUGGUGUCUCUCAAAGUUAGGUAGGUCGGAGUCAAUGUUCAGGAUGCAUCUUGAAGAGAAACCAAGAUGGUCGCUCAGCUCUCUCCAAGACAACAUAAUCUCCUGUUUGAACAUCCGAAAAACAAUUCCCCCCUCAUAGUAUUGUAAAGUGCAAAGAAAUUCGAGGGUGAGAAGACGAGAACCCAGCUCAGUUAUAUUCCAAAAAUUUGUCCAACCUAUCAUCUGGAAAAUUAAGUCAAAUUCAGUGUGCAUACCUGUUUCUUGUAGUAAGAUUGGAUCAAGAGUAGGGGUGUGAACAAAAUCUUUGUUCUUUAGUUGCUGAUAGACUUCCUUCUCCCUUCGGGUCUUCAGUCCUAGGUCUCCUAUCUUGAGAAGGACCUUAACUUGCUGACCUGAUGAAGAUGACGGAGCUUGUGUGGGUGUCGGGUCGACGCUCAUUUCUGAUGGCUAUGAGGAGUGUCGGGAUGAACUCCUUGUACCAAUGUUCUUGAGAGCCUUCCCUGCAUUCUUCACCUUCUUAAACAUCCUGUAAAAAAAAGUUGGCAAAAACACAACUAGUGGAAAAUAUGAGAGAAAAUGUUAGUGGUCAGCUGUCCGGAAUAUCAGUAGUCCAGGGGUUAAUCGUUCCAGACAAGUUUCUAUUUUGGUAGAGCCUCCCCCUAAACAACUUUUACUUCCGCUUAGACAACUACUUUCUAAGUGAUACUCACUCUCUCACUCAAAAGAACUCCCAACUUUCUCACACUCAGAACUAUUCUCUGGAAACCGAGCCUGCAAGGUUUUCUCAAAUGUGUGUGUGAAGAGAAGGGAAGCUGGAGGUGGCCUUUUAUAAGCUGAGCAGGGGACAGGGCGGGCGCCCUAGGUAGGUGGGCGGGCGCCCACCCCUGGUGUCCAUCCUGGGUGUGCCUCCUCCACUUGCUUCCUUGCUUUGAUCUCACGCAGAAUAGUAUUGUGUUGGUGGUGGUUGGACGGUGGAAAGAUGUCUGGUGAGUGGAAACAUAUUGGUGGAUGAAAUUAUGUGAUGAGAUGUAUGUGAGGUGAAGUGUAUGACAUGUGGGACCCAAGGAGUGUGGGUCAUGCUUCUAGAAGGUUACUAUAAUUAAAUAUAAUGCAGGCAAAAUCUAUGAGAAUUGAAACUUAAUUAAAAUGAUAAUGGAAAAUAUUUUUUGUGCCUCCACAAUAAUUAAUAAAUAUGGGUUGUCACGCACCAUGAAUAUUAUUUAUAUGGGGCUUUUGAUUAUUGUAAUAAUGCUAUGAAUAUAUAUGACUAAUGCAAGAUUCAGCAAUUGGUAGCUAGCUUCUUCUUCUCUUGAUUGCUUUGGUUCUGAUGAUGACGAGUUGAAUGUACCCAAAGUCAAUCCUGAUAUACCCUGUAUAAAAAUAUAAACAUAGAAAAACAACAGGGUGAACCCACCAAAGCAGAGGUGCCUUGUUAUGAUUUCUCACUUAGUAGCUGUUUUUAUGCAAUUAUUUCUCUAUAGUCUAGUCUAAUAUUUUAUAUGAAUAACCUUGACUGAUUUCCUGACUUUCCUUACCGUUCCUAUGUGUUACCCUUUUGCUUCUCCGGCAACGGCGCCAGAAAUGCUUGCUGACACAAGCUAACACCACUUAGAUACUAGGUUGUCAUUCCCAGCAUGGUGCCACAGUGUACAAAGGUAUUUAUAAAUGUAAAGGCUCUCUAGAAAAUAAUCUAUUCUAUCCACAAGCGUACAGAUAAAACACCUCAUUGUAGCAUUUCACCAGGAUAAGUAUUCCAGGUAUCGUUAUUUAUAAUUUUGCUUAAGAAGACAAGGGGUAAAAUUAUAAUAAGGUCAAAAUCUAUCAAGGCAUAGACUAGAGAUAAACUUGCAAGAACAUGAUUACUAAUGAGAAACUCGUCACACAGUCACGUACUUAAACAGGGGUAAACCAUAAAGAUAAUGAUAAUGAAUUAUAAGUUCAUGGGUAGAUAACACAGCGAUUAGAAAAUAGACUACUCCUCAUAUAUGUAGGUGAUGUCGGAUUAGCUAGAGAAUGGAUUCUAAGUUAUCUACUAACUACUAAGUCAUAAUCUAGUCUAGUUAUCUACAAGAUCAUAUAUAGCAUAAAAGACUCUUCAUUCAUGUAUAAGGAACAUUGAUCAAGUAAAUCAGAGCAUCGCAUGACUUACUCCACAAUACCGGUUCUGCCUGUCCUAUCAACAGAGGGUGGACUAUAUAAGAAUCAACAAAGCUGUCACUAUCGCGAACUACCACACGACCGGGCCAAUAGGAUACAUUUGCAGAUAAAUAACAUCUAAGCACCACGCUCACAUGUGAUCUAUCACCUAACUCCCUCGCGUCAAGAGCUAAGCGCUUUGCAAACUUAUACAUAAACUCAUUAUCAAUUAGAACUAUAUCAAAUAUAGAACUAGAGCAAACUAAGAACAUAGUAAUUAGAGACAUAAUGCAAUUAGAACAAAGAAUUAGAGAAAGAUAUGAAUAAUACCAAUCUUUAUUACCGAAGAUCCGAAUCCAGAGCGUAGUGCUCUACUUCUCUAAUUGCUAUCUAAUCAAACCUCUAAACUUGAAGGAUUAGGGAGUAGCUAAUUCUAAUUCUCUGUGGGAGAGAAGCUCUGAACCCUAACUUUGAUGGCUACCUCUGCAUAAUGAUUUCUUCUCUUCUCCUCUCUCCUCCAGGGGGGAGAGGCCUUGGUUUUAUAGUCCCUUCAAGUGAAUGUGGGCCGUCAGAUCAAACCGACAUUGAUUGUAUGGUUUAGAUUGAUCCUUUAGGUCGGUGGAGUUUAGCCCCAAAGCAGAGUCCUGAUCCAACUCCUGGCCAGGGCGGGCGCCCAAGGAGGGUGAGCGGGCGCCCUGCCCCCGAGCCCGAUCGUGCUCUCGUUCGUUCCCGUGGCUUCUGGACUCUUCUAGAUUGAGGAAAAUUGCGCGGCACGUAAUUAUCUCGUUGUAAACAUGACAUGUGGGCCUUCUCUCCAUAUUCUCUGAUAACCCCAUGUAGAAAUAGAUAAACACCAAAGCUCGUGGAAUUCUGUCAGAUAAAACCCUAAUUCUAGAUGUUUGUUUCAUAUUGAUCCUUUUCCAUGUUUAUUUGAUUAUUAAUUUUAGUACUUAAGGACCGUCAACAUGGAGCUCAUAGGAGUGAAAAAUAGCUCAUACAUAUGUUGUCUAAUCGAGCCAUGGAUCCAAAGGAACUCAACAUAUAAUUAAAUGUGCAUGUGUGGUGGGGUAAAUGAUAGUGAUGAUAAAAUUGUAUAAGUGAUAAUAAAACUUACUUCUCAUUGCUCCUCAUAUUGCUAUCUCUCCUCUUCUUUGAUCUUUGCUUUGGGAGAACAUGGGCUAUCUUUUUCUUUUUUUUCAGGUGGGUAGUAGGUACCCCUAAUUCUACUGUCGGACACUUGUCCAUUUUUUCCGCUCAAGUGGGCAUCUUUGUACCCCUAAUUCUACUCCGGACACUUGUCCAUUUUUUACCUCUCGUCUCACUUUUUUCGAGGUUCCGGGCACUUGCCCCUUUUUAUUUCCUCGCAUAUUUUUGCAUAACCCAUGCCUCUUCUGCAUUGAAUAUUUUUGGAGAGAGAGAAUAACAACACUUGGGACAGUGAGUGAUAAUAUUUUUAGCAAUUUUAAUGAUUGGUGGUGAAUGGUGUGGUGGAUGUGUGCAAGUGAAUAUCUUAAUUUAACCACAUGAAAAGCUCCGAAGGGUCUACACAGCUCGAUCAAACUCAAUGUGAAUAUAGUAAAAGAUGUUAUGGCAAGUAUGGCUGUGGUAGGAAGUUUGUUAUGCUAGGAACUCAUCAUGUGAUUUGUAAGUUUUCAAAUUAAAUCUCUAGAACUUAGUGUAGUAGGAACAAGAUAAACAGUAGCUCAAACUUUAUAUCAUGCCUUUCUCUUACCUAGACUUUAGUUUUAUGUUUCCCAUAGAUAGUAAUUUCAGUUUUAGUAAUUCGUGGAAGAACUCUAAUAUAAAAGCUAGGUACUUGAAAGUAAGCAAACAAAGCAGCUGUUCAUCAUUUCCAUCAAGCAUCUUUUUGGUCUUUUUAUUUUUCUAAAGAUUAACACUUGGCAGAUAAAUAAGCACACUUAUCUACACCCUCUUUUUAUUUUGUUUUCAUGUUUAUAGAAUGCAGUAAAUUAAAGAAAGAAAAUAUUUUUUGGGUUUUCUAAGUUUUUUUUUCUUUUUAAGAUAAUAUACUAAAAUAGAAAAGAAUAAAUAAGAAAAGCAAAUGAAAACUUACUUGAUAAAACGGGGAGGAACUCCCCCAAGCUGGAUGUGGUUGUCGGUCUUACCCAAUGUUCCAGAAUCGCAUCAUGGUGGUGAUGUUGUCGUUCAUCGUCGUGGUGUCGUCUCAGUUCUUGUACUGCAGUGGCGUGGUCCUGGUUCCAUUUUUGUUGUUGUUCUAGGAGUUGUCCAUGUUCUGCUUGCGUAUUCUGGAUGUUGAGGAGAGUGUUGUCGGUACGGGUGAAGAAAGCGCCGGCCUCUUGGUAGUAGUCGUUCGUGAAAGCAUAAGAUGCGUCGGAGUAUCGUCCUGCAUCGAAUUGGGGUGGAGGUCUGGAUCCUGAAGCUCCAUAUGGAUCAGUGGAGUACCUGCCCGUAUGGAAAGGCGGGUUUGUCCACUGGUGAUCUUGGCUCUCCUGCCAUGUCUCCUGUGUUGGCUCUUGUGGUUGAGCAUGUCGAACCCAUGGGUCUCGAAGGACUCGAGGGUUGUUGUCACAAUAAUGUAGGUGCGCUGCUCUUCUGGCCCGAGAUAAGCUCCAUACCAGGUGCAUUCUCGAUGGGUGGUCAUCCUUUCAGAUGCCACUCGUUGUUGAGCUCUCUGGUUUACCGGUGUCACUGCAAUCUCAAUCAAGUAAUUUUGAACAACAUAGAGGCCAAGGUUCGGGUUAGGUAACCGAAUCUUGCCUUUAUUAUCAUAUAACAUAUACAUUAUGUUCCCCUCUUUUUUCAACAUCCAAGCAUGCCUAAAUGUGUCAUAGCCAUGAUAAAUUUGUAACUCGUCUAUGAAUUCCAAUGAUGAGUUUUCUAGCAAAUGAAGACUAGAGGCUAGACGAGUGAUAAGUGAAGUACACCCUACAGGUCCCUAAAGACUAGGUAUACUAAGCCAAUGAGAAACCAAAAGUGUAACAGGUGAAGUGGGUACUUUAUUUAUAGCAGCAUAUAGAAGUUGUAAAUCUCCUACUCUUACUUUUCUAAUAUCAUCACGAUGGAAAAGAUUGUACCCGAGCCAUUUGUGGAACAUCCUAAGAGUGGGGUGUUCCAUGUCACUGGUUCGGGCCUUGGGUAUAAAGCUCAUCUCUAGAUAUCUCUCUCCAGAACUGGUGUCUCUCAAAAUUGGGUAAAUCAGAAUCAAUGUUCAAGAUUCAUCUUGAAGAGAAACCGAGAUGGUCGCUCAAUUCUCUCUAAGACAACAUAAUGUCCUGUUUAAACAUCCGAAAAGCAAUCCCCCCCUCAUAAUAUUGUCAAGUGCAAAGGAAUUCAAGGGUGAGAAGACGGGAUCCCAGCUCGGUUAUGUUCCAAAAAUUUGUCCAUCCCACCAUCUGGAAAAUCAAAUCGAAUUCAGUAUCCAUACCUGUUUCUUGUAGCAAGAUAGGAUAAAGAGUGGGGGUGUGAAUGAAAUCUUUGUUCUUUAGCUGCUGGUAAACUUCCUUUUCUCUAUGGGUCUUCAGUCCAAGGUCUCCUAUCUUGAGGAGGACCUUGACUUGUGGAUCAGAUGAAGAUGACUGUGGGGGUAUAAACCCCUAUACCCUUACGGCUAGACUUGGGCCAGGAGGCUUGGCCCAUUACGAGACAAGCUCAAGGUUUGAUCCGACAGCUCGGAGUUUCGCGCAAGGAAACAAGACGUGGAGAUCAAACAGGAUUCUAGUCGGUUAGAAUAUGAAUUGAUAUCGAACUAUCAAUGGCAAUUGUAACCGACUAGGAUUAGUUUCCAGAUCUGUAACCCUGCCCUUCGGACUAUAUAAGGAGAGGCAAGGGACCCCCCUAAGAUAUCAUAUUCUCUCAACACAAAUCAAUACAACCAGACGCAGGACGUAGGUAUUACGCCAACUCGGCGGCCGAACCUGGAUAAAAAGCUUGUCCGUGUCUUGCGUCACCAUCGAGUUCGUAGUUUGCGCACCGUCUACCGAUAAACUACUACCGUGGGUAUACCCCAAGGUAGACUGCCGACCAGCUUUCGUCGACAGUGGCGCGCCAGGUAGGGGGUGUGCGUGCAACUUCUUCGGCGAACAAGAUGGUUACGAUCCCAGCUUCCGCGACCGUGCCUGAAGGCCUCACGUUCACCGUCGGCCAGAUCACGUGGACGACGUGCAGCGACAGCCUCACGACCACGGUUUCGAAAGAAACUCAGAUCCGAUCUGAGAUCACGCCGUCUCCGACCACUUGCGUGGCGGCACCGAGCGCCCGACCACCGUUCCCGCUCUACAAGGGAAAGAAGAUUGACUGCUCGGACCUUCUCCAAGCGCUUGAUCACGCUGACUCCAAGCUACUUGAAGCCUCCCAACUAGUAGACGGAGUCCUGCGACAGCCGGAUCAAGCUGCUCCAACGGAUUUUUUCAAAUCCCGCCGGCCAACUCGUGUCGUUACACACGAACGGCUAGGAACGUCUCUAACGAUAACCUCAACCCCCUCAGGACGAUCCGUCGAGCUCAAGAAGGGAGAUCAUCCUUGCGGCCUGAACAACUCGGCCUCUCUGUACUCAUGGCACAUCCAAUCCGUUUUCAGCAAGGCGGGUUGGCCGCCGAAAAGGAACGGUCGUCACUACGUCAACAUGGUGGCAAUCCGAGAACUACGGGACGGCCGGGCUUCCAGCACCAACUCGAGCACCGGUUCCAUCCCCACCGAAGUUAUAAACACUGAAGACGAGGACUAUGACCUGGAUUUGCCUUCACACCCUCCGGGUUUCCCUCGUUUCCCGGUAUUUCCCCCUCGGCGAGGACAUAUUGUCUUCAACGUCAGCGCCGACGAACCGGUCGUCGAUGGAGAAACGGAUGAGCAGAGGCAACUCCGCGAGCGGCGCAACGCCGAUCGCGCCCGACGACGUGCGGACGAGCAACAACAAAUUCCACCGCACAAUCUCAACGACGCUUUUGACAUGGUCGGGGACCAGCCAGUCUACAAGACGCCAAGCGCCAAUGUGGCUGUCGCCAUGGCUAAUCUAGAUCGGCUCCCUGAUACCCCUAAGUGCCAAGGAGUCCGGACCAGCAUCCGAGCACACUUGAUCGCCGCAAUGGGACAGACAGCCACUCUGCUCAAGAGAGUCCAGGACGUCUCUUACACAGAAGCCACCUCCGACCAGACUAAUCGAAGCCGGACCUCACCACCCCCCAGCAGGCGUCGCCGUAGCCGCUCUCCCGACAACCAUCGAAAAGAUUCACGGCGCGACGAUGUUGGUCGGGACACUGACGGUCACCGUGAGCAGAACCGCAGACGCGGUCAGGAAGUAAACCAACACAGGGAUCUCCGGCACAACAUCCCUUCUAGCAAAUGAAGACUAGAGGCUAGACGAGUGAUAAGUGAAGUACACCCUACAGGUCCCUAAAGACUAGGUAUACUAAGCCAAUGAGAAACCAAAAGUGUAACAGGUGAAGUGGGUACUUUAUUUAUAGCAGCAUAUAGAAGUUGUAAAUCUCCUACUCUUACUUUUCUAAUAUCAUCACGAUGGAAAAGAUUGUACCCGAGCCAUUUGUGGAACAUCCUAAGAGUGGGGUGUUCCAUGUCACUGGUUCGGGCCUUGGCUAUAAAGCUCAUCUCUAGAUAUCUCUCUCCAGAACUGGUGUCUCUCAAAAUUGGGUAAAUCAGAAUCAAUGUUCAAGAUUCAUCUUGAAGAGAAACCGAGAUGGUCGCUCAAUUCUCUCUAAGACAACAUAAUGUCCUGUUUAAACAUCCUAAAAGCAAUCCCCCCUCAUAAUAUUGUAAAGUGCAAAGAAAUUCAAGGGUGAGAAGAUGGGAACCCAGCUCGGUUAUGUUCCAAAAAUUUGUCCAUCCCACCAUCUGGAAAAUCAAAUCGAAUUCAGUAUCCGUACCUGUUUCUUGUAGCAAGAUAGGAUAAAGAGUGGGGGUGUGAAUGAAAUCUUUGUUCUUUAGCUGCUGGUAAACUUCCUUUUCUCUAUGGGUCUUCAGUCCAAGGUCUCCUAUCUUGAGGAGGACCUUGACUUGUGGAUCAGAUGAAGAUGACUGUGGGGGUAUAAACCCCUAUACCCUUACGGCUAGACUUGGGCCAGGAGGCUUGGCCCAUUACGAGACAAGCUCAAGGUUUGAUCCGAUAGCUCGGAGUUUCGCGCAAGGAAACAAGACGUGGAGAUCAAACAGGAUUCUAGUCGGUUAGAAUAUGAAUUGAUAUCGAACUAUCAAUGGCAAUUGUAACCGACUAGGAUUAGUUUCCAGAUCUGUAACCCUGCCCUUCGGACUAUAUAAGGAGAGGCAAGGGACCCCCCUAAGAUAUCAUAUUCUCUCAACACAAAUCAAUACAACCAGACGCAGGAUGUAGGUAUUACGCCAACUCGGCGGCCGAACCUGGAUAAAAAGCUUGUCCGUGUCUUGCGUCACCAUCGAGUUCGUAGUUUGCGCACCGUCUACCGAUAAACUACUACCGUGGGUAUACCCCAAGGUAGACUGCCGACCAGCUUUCGUCGACAGUGGCGCGCCAGGUAGGGGGUGUGCGUGCAACUUCUUCGGCGAACAAGAUGGUUACGAUCCCAGCUUCCGCGACCGUGCCUGAAGGCCUCACGUUCACCGUCGGCCAGAUCACGUGGACGACGUGCAGCGACAGCCUCACGACCACGGUUUCGAAAGAAACUCAGAUCCGAUCUGAGAUCACGCCGUCUCCGACCACUUGCGUGGCGGCACCGAGCGCCCGACCACCGUUCCCGCUCUACAAGGGAAAGAAGAUUGACUGCUCGGACCUUCUCCAAGCGCUUGAUCACGCUGACUCCAAGCUACUUGAAGCCUCCCAACUAGUAGACGGAGUCCUGCGACAGCCGGAUCAAGCUGCUCCAACGGAUUUUUUCAAAUCCCGCCGGCCAACUCGUGUCGUUACACACGAACGGCUAGGAACGUCUCUAACGAUAACCUCAACCCCCUCAGGACGAUCCGUCGAGCUCAAGAAGGGAGAUCAUCCUUGCGGCCUGAACAACUCGGCCUCUCUGUACUCAUGGCACAUCCAAUCCGUUUUCAGCAAGGCGGGUUGGCCGCCGAAAAGGAACGGUCGUCACUACGUCAACAUGGUGGCAAUCCGAGAACUACGGGACGGCCGGGCUUCCAGCACCAACUCGAGCACCGGUUCCAUCCCCACCGAAGUUAUAAACACUGAAGACGAGGACUAUGACCUGGAUUUGCCUUCACACCCUCCGGGUUUCCCUCGUUUCCCGGUAUUUCCCCCUCGGCGAGGACAUAUUGUCUUCAACGUCAGCGCCGACGAACCGGUCGUCGAUGGAGAAACGGAUGAGCAGAGGCAACUCCGCGAGCGGCGCAACGCCGAUCGCGCCCGACGACGUGCGGACGAGCAACAACAAAUUCCACCGCACAAUCUCAACGACGCUUUUGACAUGGUCGGGGACCAGCCAGUCUACAAGACGCCAAGCGCCAAUGUGGCUGUCGCCAUGGCUAAUCUAGAUCGGCUCCCUGAUACCCCUGAGUGCCAAGGAGUCCGGACCAGCAUCCGAGCACACUUGAUCGCCGCAAUGGGACAGACAGCCACUCUGCUCAAGAGAGUCCAGGACGUCUCUUACACAGAAGCCACCUCCGACCAGACUAAUCGAAGCCGGACCUCACCACCCCCCAGCAGGCGUCGCCGUAGCCGCUCUCCCGACAACCAUCGAAAAGAUUCACGGCGCGACGAUGUUGGUCGGGACACUGACGGUCACCGUGAGCAGAACCGCAGACGCGGUCAGGAAGUAAACCAACACAGGGAUCUUCGGCACAACAUCCCUUCUAGCAAAUGAAGACUAGAGGCUAGACGAGUGAUAAGUGAAGUACACCCUACAGGUCCCUAAAGACUAGGUAUACUAAGCCAAUGAGAAACCAAAAGUGUAACAGGUGAAGUGGGUACUUUAUUUAUAGCAGCAUAUAGAAGUUGUAAAUCUCCUACUCUUACUUUUCUAAUAUCAUCACGAUGGAAAAGAUUGUACCCGAGCCAUUUGUGGAACAUCCUAAGAGUGGGGUGUUCCAUGUCACUGGUUCGGGCCUUGGCUAUAAAGCUCAUCUCUAGAUAUCUCUCUCCAGAACUGGUGUCUCUCAAAAUUGGGUAAAUCAGAAUCAAUGUUCAAGAUUCAUCUUGAAGAGAAACCGAGAUGGUCGCUCAAUUCUCUCUAAGACAACAUAAUGUCCUGUUUAAACAUCCUAAAAGCAAUCCCCCCCUCAUAAUAUUGUAAAGUGCAAAGAAAUUCAAGGGUGAGAAGAUGGGAACCCAGCUCGGUUAUGUUCCAAAAAUUUGUCCAUCCCACCAUCUGGAAAAUCAAAUCGAAUUCAGUAUCCGUACCUGUUUCUUGUAGCAAGAUAGGAUAAAGAGUGGGGGUGUGAAUGAAAUCUUUGUUCUUUAGCUGCUGGUAAACUUCCUUUUCUCUAUGGGUCUUCAGUCCAAGGUCUCCUAUCUUGAGGAGGACCUUGACUUGUGGAUCAGAUGAAGAUGACUGUGGGGGUAUAAACCCCUAUACCCUUACGGCUAGACUUGGGCCAGGAGGCUUGGCCCAUUACGAGACAAGCUCAAGGUUUGAUCCGAUAGCUCGGAGUUUCGCGCAAGGAAACAAGACGUGGAGAUCAAACAGGAUUCUAGUCGGUUAGAAUAUGAAUUGAUAUCGAACUAUCAAUGGCAAUUGUAACCGACUAGGAUUAGUUUCCAGAUCUGUAACCCUGCCCUUCGGACUAUAUAAGGAGAGGCAAGGGACCCCCCUAGGAUAUCAUAUUCUCUCAACACAAAUCAAUACAACCAGACGCAGGACGUAGGUAUUACGCCAACUCGGCGGCCGAACCUGGAUAAAAAGCUUGUCCGUGUCUUGCGUCACCAUCGAGUUCGUAGUUUGCGCACCGUCUACCGAUAAACUACUACCGUGGGUAUACCCCAAGGUAGACUGCCGACCAGCUUUCGUCGACAGUGGCGCGCCAGGUAGGGGGUGUGCGUGCAACUUCUUCGGCGAACAAGAUGGUUACGAUCCCAGCUUCCGCGACCGUGCCUGAAGGCCUCACGUUCACCGUCGGCCAGAUCACGUGGACGACGUGCAGCGACAGCCUCACGACCACGGUUUCGAAAGAAACUCAGAUCCGAUCUGAGAUCACGCCGUCUCCGACCACUUGCGUGGCGGCACCGAGCGCCCGACCACCGUUCCCGCUCUACAAGGGAAAGAAGAUUGACUGCUCGGACCUUCUCCAAGCGCUUGAUCACGCUGACUCCAAGCUACUUGAAGCCUCCCAACUAGUAGACGGAGUCCUGCGACAGCCGGAUCAAGCUGCUCCAACGGAUUUUUUCAAAUCCCGCCGGCCAACUCGUGUCGUUACACACGAACGGCUAGGAACGUCUCUAACGAUAACCUCAACCCCCUCAGGACGAUCCGUCGAGCUCAAGAAGGGAGAUCAUCCUUGCGGCCUGAACAACUCGGCCUCUCUGUACUCAUGGCACAUCCAAUCCGUUUUCAGCAAGGCGGGUUGGCCGCCGAAAAGGAACGGUCGUCACUACGUCAACAUGGUGGCAAUCCGAGAACUACGGGACGGCCGGGCUUCCAGCACCAACUCGAGCACCGGUUCCGUCCCCACCGAAGUUAUAAACACUGAAGACGAGGACUAUGACCUGGAUUUGCCUUCACACCCUCCGGGUUUCCCUCGUUUCCCGGUAUUUCCCCCUCGGCGAGGAGAUAUUGUCUUCAACGUCAGCGCCGACGAACCGGUCGUCGAUGGAGAAACGGAUGAGUAGAGGCAACUCCGCGAGCAGCGCAACGCCGAUCGCGCCCGACGACGUGCGGACGAGCAACAACAAAUUCCACCGCACAAUCUCAACGACGCUUUUGACAUGGUCGGGGACCAGCCAGUCUACAAGACGCCAAGCGCCAACGUGGCUGUCGCCAUGGCUAAUCUAGAUCGGCUCCCUGAUACCCCUGAGUGCCAAGGAGUCCGGACCAGCAUCCGAGCACACUUGAUCGCCGCAAUGGGACAGACAGCCACUCUGCUCAAGAGAGUCCAGGACGUCUCUUACACAGAAGCCACCUCCGACCAGACUAAUCGAAGCCGGACCUCACCACCCUCCAGCAGGCGUCGCCGUAGCCGCUCUCCCGACAACCAUCGAAAAGAUUCACGGCGCGACGAUGUUGGUCGGGACACUGACGGUCACCGUGAGCAGAACCGCAGACGCGGUCAGGAAGUAAACCAACACAGGGAUCUCCGGCACAACAUCCCUCCCAAAGAUGCCCGGGACCGCAUCAACAGGCGUGCCACAGAGAGAGCAGUCCACGAAAACCUGCGCCGUAUUGAGUACGAUGCAACACACGGCCCCCCGGGCCUAAGACAAUUCUCCUCACACCUCCGCCACGUCGUGUGGCCCCGCAAUUUCAAGCUUGAAAAACUUAAAAAAUACGAUGGCAAGGAAAAUCCAGAGAACUGGAUCACUCUCUAUGAAAUCGCCGUCCGGUCAGCAGCGGGAGAUGAGCACGUCAUGGCCAACUACUUCCCCGUAGUCCUCGACCAGGCUGGUCAUCAGUGGCUCCUUGGCUUGCCCGAGAACUCCUUUGACUCUUGGGAAGAGCUACGCCAGGCUUUCAUCGACAACUUCAUCGCCACAUGCGAGCAGCCUGGAAACAAGUAUGACCUCGAAAGGAUAAGGGACAGGAAGAACGAACCCCUGCGCGACUACAUCCGACGUUUCUCGGAUAUGCGCCUUAAAAUCCCAAAGAUUUCCCACGACGAGGCCAUCUCUGCCUUCAUCAAGGGCCUGCGCUUCCAUGAAGUGCUGAGGAACAAGCUGUUGUGUAAACGGCCAACAACGGUGGCGGAGCUCCUCGCCAUGGCCAAAAAUUACGCCGAUGCUGACGACGCAGAAAAACUAAUCCGAGACGAUGCGAGAGGUCCCGACCAGCCUCCCCGGCGAGACGACGGUCGCGGUCGCUACGACAACAGGAACCACCGCCGCCCCGACAACCGCGAUCACAGAGAAGGUUGGGAUCGGCGGCACAACAACCGCGAUGAUUUCAGAGGAAAGCGCCCCCGCGACUACGACCACGAAGUAAAUACGGUCAAGCGCCCCAACGGGCGGCGGGACUACCAAGAAGACUACAACAAAACGUUGAAGGGACCGUGCCAACUACAUCCAAAGUCUAAUCAUACCAUGGAGGAAUGCCGCGUCCUCAAAAGCAUCUAUACACGGCGGGCCGCCCAAGACGACUCCGCCAAGAAAAACGGCAAGCGAGACGGGCACGACCACGAAGACGAGGAUGAGGACCAAGAUAGGGACCCCCGACACCAAUACGUCAGUCCCACUGACGUGGUCCACUCCAUCUUCGGGGGCAAGGUCUCCAUCGAAUCCUAGCGGGAAAGAAAGCUAUUAAAGAGAGCUUGCCUCAACAUAGACAGCACGGACGGGCUGAUCGCAGACCCGAAAUUUCCCCCGUGGUCGCACAGAGAGAUCUCAUUCAGCAGGAAGGACCAGUGGGCCGCCAUCCCAGAGCCAGGUCGUUUCCCUCUGAUCCUGGACCCUUGCAUCAACAGCAUUAGAUUCGAGCGCGUGCUCGUGGACGGAGGAAGCUCCAUCGACAUCCUCUUUCGCAACAGCCUGCCCGCUCUCAAGAUAUCUCCGGCACAACUAAAACCUUACGAUGCCCAAUUCUGGGGGUUUUGCCAGGUCAGAGUUCAGUGCCCCUCGGACAGAUAACAUUGCCUGUCCAAUUCGGCACACCCGACCACUUUCGGACGGAGUUCAUCAACUUCGUGGUCGCGGACUUCGACGGGACGUACCACACUAUACUGGGCCGACCAUCGCUGACAAAGUUCAUGGCAGUCCCGCACUACUCAUACCUGGUCCUUAAGAUGCCUAAGGAGAAGGGAGUCCUAACCGUCAGAGGCAAUGUCUACACCGCGUAUACCUGCGAAGAAGAGAGUUUCAAGAUCACUGAAGCAAUAGACCUCUCAAUCCGCAUGGCAGAAACAGCAACCCAAGCCGCGCAGCUACCUCCCGACCAGCUCCGAUUGCCCGAACAAGAGACAGCCAGGAAGAAUUCAAAAUCCAAAGAGUACAAAGAAGUGCAGCUGGUCGACGGCAGCUCCGAGAAGACGGCCCUCAUCGGGGCCAAUCUGGAUCCAAAAUAGGAAGACGCGCUCGUCAGGUUUCUAAGGGACAACAUGAGCGUUUUCUCAUGGAAACCCGCAGACAUGCCCGGCGUCCCACGAAACCUGAUCGAGCACUCCUUAAACGUCUCGAAGACCGCAAGACCAGUCAAGCAAAAGCUGCAACGGUUCGCUCUUGACAAAAAGGAGGCUAUUAGGACAGAAAUAACAUGGCUUCUAGCAGCCGGAUUCAUAAAAGAAGUGUAUCACCCCGAUUGGCUCGCCAAUCCGGUUCUUGUACGCAAAAAGAAUAAUAAAUGGAGAAUGUGUGUUGAUUACACUGAUCUCAAUAAACACUGUCCUAAAGAUCCUUUUGGUCUCCCUCGCAUAGACGAGGUGGUCGACUCAACGGCCGGAUGCGAACUCCUCUCUUUUCUAGACUGCUACUCUGGUUACCACCAGAUAUCGCUAAAGGAAGGCGAUCAGAUCAAAACAUCUUUCAUUACUCCUUUCGGCGCAUACUGCUACACGACCAUGUCAUUCGGACUCAAAAAUGCCGGAGCCACUUAUCAACGGGCCAUCCAGCAGUGCCUCCACGACGAGAUUCGUGACGACCUCGUCGAGGCCUAUGUAGACGACGUGGUCGUAAAAACAAGGGACGCGAGCACCCUAAUCGAUAACUUAGACCGAACUUUCAAGGCGCUUAAUAGGUACAAGUGGAAGCUCAACCCCAAAAAGUGCAUCUUCGGCGUUCCUUCCGGUCUACUGCUCGGCAACGUUGUCAGUCGCGACGGCAUACGACCAAACCCUUCAAAAGUAAAAGCAGUACUCGACAUGCGACCACCCAAGAACGUCAAGGAUAUUCAGAAGCUUACCGGAUGUAUGGCCGCCCUCAGUCGCUUCAUCUCAAGGCUAGGAGAAAAAGGCCUCCCUUUCUUCAAACUCUUGAAAGCGUCAGAAAAUUUCUCUUGGACAGAAGAAGCCGACGCCGCGUUCACUCAGCUUAAGGCUUUCCUCACUUCACCACCUGUCCUUACAGCGCCUCAGCCCGAUGAAGACCUACUCCUUUACAUUGCUGCAACCGACAGAGUUGUUUCCACAGCAAUAGUGGUCGAGCGAGAUGAACCAGGUCAUGCCUAUAAAGUCCAGAGACCCGUUUACUUCAUAAGUGAAGUCUUAAACGAGUCCAAGGCCAGGUACCCACAAAUACAGAAGCUCAUAUACGCCAUUCUAAUAACAUCAAGAAAGCUGAAGCACUACUUCGACGGCCAUCGAGUCUUGGUAACCACCAGUUUCCCUCUCGGGGACAUUCUGCGCAAUAAAGACGCCAACGGCAGAAUCGUGAAAUGGGCGAUGGAAUUAUGCCCAUUUUCCCUGGAGUUCCAGAGCCGCACCACAGUCAAGUCUCAGGCCCUGGUCGAUUUCAUUGCUGAAUGGAUGGAUCUCAACGAGCCUCCCGUCCCCGAUGUCUCCGACCACUGGUCAAUGUUCUUCGACGGAUCCUUGAACAUCAACGGUGCCGGCGCUGGGAUACUGUUCGUAUCACCUAACAAGGACAAACUGUGUUACGUCCUUAGGAUCCUUUUUCCAGCGUCAAACAAUGUCGCCAAAUACGAAGCAUGCCUGCACGGCAUAAGGCUCGCCGUUGAGCUGGGAGUCAAACGCCUUUAUGUCUAUGGCGACUCCGCUUUGGUUAUCAACCAGCUCAACAAGGAGUGAGACGCAACCCACGAGAAGAUGGAUCUCUACUGCAAAUAAAUUCGCAAAUGGGAAACCAACUUUUACGGCAUAGAGUACAUCCACGUGGUCCGGGAUAAGAACCAGGCAGCAGAUGCGUUGUCGAAGUUAGGGUCAUCUCGGGCCCAGAUCCCACGGGGUAUUUUCGUCCAGGACAUCCACGAGCCAAGCGCAGGUUCCACCCUGGUCGAAAAGCAACCCACCGAGGCAAUGCUCAUAGACGAUGCCACCCCGACAACCGGUGGUCGUGAUUGGCGUACACCGUUCAUCAAGUAUAUAUCGGACGGGACAGGCUUUCAGGACAAAACAGAGAACGAGCGCCUUAUUCGACGGUCAAAGAACUACAUCCUGGUCGACGGUAAACUCAUGCGAAAAACGCAAGCUCUGAAGUGUUGCUCAAGUGCAUAUCCCAGGAUGAUGGUACCAAGCUCCUAGAAGACAUACAUGCUGGAUCCUGCGGCAAUCACGCUGCAUCCAGAACGUUGGUCGGAAAAGCCUUCCGAGCAGGUUUUUAUUGGCCAACCACGGUCAACGACGCAGAAAAACUGGUUCGACACUGCGAGGGAUGUCAGUUUUUCGCUAAGAGGACCCACGUACCCGCUCACGAAAUUCAAACCAUCCCGUCAUCCUGGCCCUUCGCUUGCUGGGGGCUUGACAUGAUCGGGCCAUUUAAACCAGCUCCCGGAAACUUCAAGUUUGUUUUCGUGUUAAUCGACAAGUUCUCCAAGUGGAUUGAAUACAUGCCUCUGGUCAAAGCAACCUCCGAGAAGGCUGUAGAGUUCCUCAAUCAAAUCAUACACAGAUUCGGCAUCCCGAACAGCAUAAUCACCGACCUGGGUACUCAGUUCACUGGCACCACAUUUUGGGACUUCUGCGAUGACAGGGGCAUAGUCAUAAAAUAUGUGUCAGUGGCUCAUCCACGGGCCAAUGGUCAAGUUGAACGCGCAAACGGAAUGAUCAUUGACGCCCUAAAGAAAAGGCUGUACACCGAGAACGACAGAGCACCCGGUCGAUGGAUGAAAGAGUUACCUGCCGUAGUCUGGGGCCUCCGAACUCAGACCAGUCGAAACAUAGGAGUAUCUCCCUACUUCAUGGUCUACGGCUCCGAGGCAGUCCUGCCGUCUGACAUAACCUUCGGAUCUCCUAGGAUUGAACACUUCGACCAGGCGACAGCCGACAACGCCAGAGAACUCGAAAUCAACUGCAUGGAGGAAAAGCGUUUGAAUUCUUGUCUCCGAACAGCAAAGUAUCUCGCGGCAGUCAGGCGAUACCACAACAGGAACGUGAAGGACCGUUCCUUCGUGGUCGGCGACCUGGUACUUAGGUGGAGAACAAGCCAAGAGGGAAUGCACAAGCUCUCCACUCCCUGGGAAGGUCCCUUCGUGGUCGCCGAAGUCACACGACCCACGUCCUACAGAUUGGCAUACCCAGACGGGACAAUAUCUUACCCAUAAGUUCUAAUAACUUUCGCUUGUAAAUAUCUUAUAAUUGUCAAUAAUAAAGUUUUCUAUUUUUUGCCUAUACUUUGUAGCACGCAGAACUCUUGGCAAACCUUCUGCAACGGAAGCUCUUAGCGACUACAAAGUCGAAUACGGUGACACGUCACUCAGAAAAUUAUACAGCGCUCAAAAUAACAGUCAUGACAAAAGCAAACUUUAUUACAAACUUUACAUACAAAGUUUACAAUAAAUACCCUGACGGGCAGACGCUAGCCUACUCCUAUAGACUACCCUAUCGGCCUAACUGCUCGGGCUGAUCACCCGUUUGGCCCUGCUGCCCGGACGAAGGGGUCGGGGCCACCGGCGCCUGGCUGGUCGAGACCGCAGGCGUCGACCGCCCAUCUCCCGCAACAGACGCGCCCGACAGCUCCCUGGCCGACCUGUCUAAGCCUGGCUGGUCGGGGGGAGUGGCCGUUCCGCACAGAUUGAUGUCGCCGAUCACCAUCGACGACAAGUCCAGCAGACCACCCCAAAGCUCGUCCGCCUCCUGCGGGCCGACCUCCUUGGGGUACCCCUUCUCCAGCCUGGACAAGUCGACCAGGGGGUAGUGGGCGCGCACCAUGCUAAGGACAUGUGCGCCAGCGAACUCCCUAGCGUCCUUUACAAAUUGCUGGAGCCAGUCCCACGCCCGUUGCGCCUUCUCCACCGGAGUCAACUUCGGCGCGCGGGGCUGGCUCUCCGGGAGCUCGGGACUGAUCAGAUCCAGGACCGGGGAUACUCCCUUCCAGAUCUUACAACAGUUGACCUUCCAGGAGUCCCGGUCCUUGACCAGCUCAUCCAGGUGCUUCAUGGCGUUCACCUUGAGCACUGCAAGUCAAGCAGGAUGUUAUCUUCGACAUAUCAAAAAAAAAACAAAGGGGGCGACAAGCGGCAGAUAACGAGGCGGUGCGUAUUACCAGAUAACUCCCAGUCCAUACGACCCAACUCCUCUCCUGUUCGGCGCCCGGACUCCAGCGCACCAGCGAGCUCUUGGCUGAGCUGCUCCUUCUCCUGUCGGAGGCGCGUCACCUCCUCCUCCAGGCCUAAGUGAAUCAUAACCUGGUCAGCAAAGCGAACUACACAGCUACACGAAGGUGCUCGGAGCGCGCGACUAACCUUCUCGCUGACGGUACUGGUCGGCUAAGCGACGCGUAAGCUCGAGACGAUGCUCCUCUUGGGCAUUCAUCUCGGCCACUUUCUCCCCAACCUCUGAUCGUAGCCGGUCCACCUCCGCGGCCAGGGCCUUGUUCUCGGCCACAACGCCUUCUAUCUGGUCGAAGCACCGUUUCGGGUACUUCGCCGUUUUCAUCGCGCCCUACAAAACGAACAUAUGACAACCAAGCAAGACAACGCACAGAAUGUACAACAGUGCAAAUAACCGCUUACCUUGACUUCGUCGACAAGGCGUUUGGCCGCGCGCUCGACCCUGGCGGCCUCCUCGGUCUCGGCAAGCUCCUCAUGCCCGAUGAAGUGAUCCCCGCGUUGGCGCCACACAUACACGUGUUGGCGGCCAUCGCGGGGACGACCUUCAAUCUCCUCCACCUCGUCGUCGGAGGCCGCCUGGGUUUCCUCCUCACCCGUCGUAUUGCCCCCGGUAGCAGUCGAAGGCAUUACUGGCCCCCGGGCUAGACCCGGGGAGCCUGCAGUCGAAGCGGCCCUUGCUCGGGGCGGCGUGGGGACUUCGCUCUCCUCGGCGGGAGGAGGGGUCGGGGCUCUCCCCUCCCCUUCUGUGGCGUUCGCUGGGGGAGGUGCCCCUGUAGCUUCCUCAGCCCUGGCCGGGCUGCUCGACGUGGUCGGUGCCGCGGCUGGGGGCUCCUCGGUGCUCACAGGCACGGCUGCAGCUGCAGGCUGCUCCGUGGUCUGCGGCGCCGCGUCUUCAGCAGCGCAGGCAGGCUCACCCGUCCCCUGGCCGGCGGCAUGGCCGGGGUUGACAUCCGACGCCGCGCUAAAAGAACAAAAGUACAAUAAAAAAAAUGCCAAAAUACGUAAGUCGAACACUUACAGGUCCGAUCGACGGUGGGUCGCGGUGAACCUCCUCCUCGUCCGGCCAGUCGGCACCUGCGCCCCCAUCUCGACAACGCGCGGUGCAGGAGGGUCGCUGGCCACCCGAUCAGUAGUGGCCGGCGCACUAUCUGGGCGGCUCCGAGGUCGUCGAACUAGCGACGGUGCGGCCUCCUCGUCGUUGUCGUCGUCGUCGUCAACGAUCCGCACGAGCCGACGGCGCUUCGGCGCUUGGCUGCUCUCCGCCGGCAACGUCGGUACCGGCAAAGGAUCUGCUGCCAGUGGCCUUUUCCCCGCCACCCUCUCCUUGGUGGUCGGGACGGGGCGGGCCUGGUCCUCCUCACUGCUGGUGUACCGAUCACACCGUGCAGCGUCUUCUAAAGGCGGAUCUUCCCUUGUGGGAUCCUCCAUCCCAGGCGCCAGUGACACAUACGCUGUGCACCUGUCUACAUCUCCGAUCUACAAAGAGAAAUACAGACAAGUCAGCGGCCGACGAUAUAACGAAUGCUAAAGAGUUAGUCAGUAAAGGACAUUACCUUAGGGGCUGGUCGCCCCAGCUUGAAAGCUUGCACCCGAUCACUACCACGGAUGAAGCCCCCGUCAGUAAAGUUGAACAAUUCGUUCAACAACUGCUGCACCUCUGUUGACGGUCCUUAAUGCUCACAUUUAACCAUCAACUAAUCAUGGAAAAGGAUCCAAAUGCAACCAACACCUAGCCUUAGGGUUUUAUCUGACAGAAGUCCACGAGUUUUGGUGUUUGUCUAUUUCUGCAGGGGGUUAUCAGGAAAUAUGGAAGAAAGGCCCACACGUCGGGUUUACAUAGAGAUAUUGACGUGCUGCGCAAUUUUCUAUCAUCUAGAAGACUCCAGAAGCCACGGGACCGAAGCGGAGGCCGAGAGGACACAGGGACAGGGCGCCCGCCCACCUUUCCUGGGCGCCCGCCCUCAGCCAGAGUCCAAUCAGGACUCUCUUUCGGGAUAUUGCUCCACCGACCUAAAGGAUCAAGGAAAACCACACGAUCAAUGUCGGUUUGAUCCAACGGCCCAGAUUCACUUGAAGGGACUAUAAAACCAGACCCCCCUGGCCCCUGGAGAUCAUACCUCUUCUACAGAAUCAAAGUUAGGGUUUCAAUUCUUCAUCCAAGUAGAGAGGAUCCCUCUAGUUCUUCUAGUUCUACCUCUAGUUCAUCUAGUUCUAGUUCUAGUUCCUCUAGUUCUAGUUCUAGUUAGUUCUAGUUGUAAUCUAGAAAAUAGGGAGAGAGAACAGGAGAGCGGAGGAGGAGCCGGAUCUGUCGGAUCUUCCUCAACAUUAUACUUUUGCAGCAUCUGGUUCGUUCUUCAUCGUUCUCCAGGUUCUUCAAUUCAAAAUUCCUGAGUUCUCUAAUUACUUUUAUUUACAUUCAAGUUAUUUAUUGGAUUCCCGCUUGCAUCAAGUGCUCUAGUCUUUAUAACGCUAGAGUAGUAAUUAAUAGAUUAGACGUGGUGUUUAGUCUUGCGAUUACCUGGAAUUGCACCCAAUCCUGCGGAUUGUUGUGGUAGCCUUAGGGUAGUGACAGCCCUAACGGUCGACGUAUUCCACCACGUUCGGAUCGGUGUUUGUAGGACCGUAGUCAGACCUUCCUAGCCCCCUUCUCAUCUCUUUCUGUGGUUAGUGCUCUGAUGUCCCGAUAUAGAUAAUCUUGAAGUAAUUCUUGGUUCUUAGAUCAACUAGAGAACUCUCAGGAAACUUCCUCUCUUCCCACCAAAAAUAAUUAUAUAGUUAUCCUUGGGCGAUCUUGGAUCUUAAUUAGUACACUCACGUUCUCUGUGGAAAAUCGAUACUCUGGAAUACUCCCGGGUGAAAGCUACAUCGGUAUCCGUGCGCUUGCGGAUUUUUCUGUUUGCGUUUAAAAUACCCAACAAGCUUUCUGGCGCCGUUGCCGGAGAACGGUAGCUGUGCUAGUUUCGAACCAAGUCGUCUGUGUAUCCUUUUUAUUUUCCUUUUUUACCACACUCACCAUAUCAUUUUCACCAUACCACAUGGAUUUCACUCUAAGCAUUAAUGAGCAUGGAAUUUAUUUCAUAGCCACUUCAUUUACUCCAUGCUCAUAUGCAACAUCUUCACAAUCCAUUGGUUUUUCCAACAUCACCACAUUCGAGAUCUCCAACCCCCUCAUCCUUUCUAUUUAUAAAAACUUUAAAAGGGCGGUUGUCGAUGCAUAUGUCUAUAAUAAAUUUUGCAGAUCUCAUUGAGUUGAUCUUGAUAUAGGUCAGCGUUGGAGGGGAAACCACUUCACUGACAUAAAUUGAUGGUUUCCCAAGGACAAGCUUAGUGUCCUAAAACAAGCACUGAUCAGAUCGUAACAUAAGUUUUUAAUUAUUUGCAACACUACCUUGUGUAUUGAGCAUAUAAGGAUAAUUGUAAAAAAAAAAUUCCUUCGGGUUUUCUUGUCACUAACCUUUCUAGGAUUGGAGCAAGAAGAUCGGAUGAAUGACAAGCACAAGGUAUGUACAACCAAUCAUCAUACAACAUUGAAUUAAAUUCAUCCAAACUUGAAUUUUGCAAAAUUCAAGGUUGGGGGAGUGCUUUAUAUAAAAACAUCAUUUGCCAUGUUGCUAUGUUGGUUGUCCCUACCUUUGAGACAUGCUCAAUUUGUUAAAUAGUAAUCACACUACUUCAUCUCCACUUGAGUAGAUCUCUAUAAAAGCCAUCACGCUACCUUUGUUUAUCCUAGUAAGUGUUAGUUUGGAAGUACUGUACAUACUUCUAUUGGUUUUUAAAUUAAGCAUGGUGCUUAGGUUAAACAGCCUUCCUUAAUCUAAUUAGACAUGGAGUCUAGUUUGGUUAUUGAACUAAAAACUGCUUGUGUAGACAUUGGUAUAUUUUGUUGGACUAACCCCUGCAGGAAAACUUUCAAUAUCGACCUGGGAAGUCCUGAGAUAAACUCACAUUGGAGACAAAGAGAGACAAACAUGAAGUUUAAUAAUUUACACAAGGAAGGCAUAGCUCACAAGAGAUGAUCCAUGGAGGUGCCACAAACACGAUGCACAACCGCUAAGAGAGGAAAGCUUCCACAAGGUGAUACUGUACCACCAUUCUUCAAGUAAGGUAACAUUUUAAGGUACUUGACUAUCACUUUUAUAAGCUUCUCCUUGGUUCUGGCGUUCACGUGAAUAAAAGAGACAAACAUGUAUGAUUUGCAACUCUAGAUUAACCAACCCAAUCGAUUCAACAUGUUUAGUCCUUCCACCUUUGUGAUCCCACACUCCUAAUCAUAUGAACUAAAAUGUUGCACAUUCAAUCUCUGGAAGAUAUAAACAAAACAUAAGUAUAGAUAGAUUAUCUUUCCAUUAGGUUGAGCGAUCUAAUCUGACAAAUGUUAAAUACUACACUCAUGAUUUUAUUAUCCAUCAACUUUGUCUUGCUCACUAUGCUUGAGGUUAGAGAAGAACAAAUAAACUUUUGGUUCUGUUGGUGUUUUCCACUAACAGGGCCCAUGCACUUGAUCUCUGCCUUGUCUCUAUGAGUAGGUACACUUCGAGCAAAAUAUGAAGGAGUUUUACAACUCCUAGACUCCGCCAAGUGAAGAACCUAGAUCUACGAGCACAAACACACUGGUGAGACUGGACACUCAGGCAAUCACUGCCCUGAGAUGCUUGAGGACGUAACUACUGGAGUAACCCCAUUGUGGUAGUAAUUACUGACCUUCUGUCGGUCAAGAGAGACAAUCCAGGACGCCCUGUCAUCCCGAUCUCCAUCGGCAUGGUGGACUUCCCAGAAGCACUCUGUGACUUUGGCUCCAGCAUCAACAUUAUGCCCAGGGUACUCUAUGAAAAAUUCUUUACACAUCCUUUAUUAGAAACAGCCAUGUGUUUGCAGCUUGCAGAUCGUACGCUAAGUUUCCCAAAGAGAAUAUUGAAGAACCUCUACGUCCGAGUUGGUACCUUAUACGCUCCAGCAGACUUCGUGGUGAUAGAGACUGAUACUGAUGAGAGGGCACCCAUCGUCCUAGGGAGGCCAUUCCUGAACACCUCGGGAGCUAUCAUCUACGCUAGUGCUGCCAAGAUCAGUUUCUACAUCAAGGGAAGGAAGUAGAUGUUUUCCUUCAAGAACAAGACUAUACAAAUCUCAGAGCAAUCCCGACAUGAACCAAGGAAGAGGACCAACAGGAGGAAUAGGAACAAGCAAAUGUGUACCGAGUCAGCUAAGAUGGUCCCUGCAGCUCAAGGAGGUCAAGAUCGUCAACUCAAGUCACCUUUCUUGAUCAAGAAGGACGACCCUGGUGUCCCAAGCAUCGAGUGCACAAUCAACAGAUAUUCUUUUCAGAAGACACUCUACGACACCGGAUCUAACGUCAACAUAAUGGCCGCAGUCACUUAUCAGCUCCUGCAUGGAACCAUGUCCCUACAACCAACAUACAUUCAGCUCCAGAUGGCAGAUCAGACAUUCUGAAAGAUUGAAGGUUAUUGACAUGGGAGAAGACGAGUACGAUCCACCCAUCAUCCUUGGAAGACCGUUCUUUGGCACCAUUAAAGCAAUCAUAUACAUUGGAACCAGAGAAGUCCACAUGCACUUCCCCUCAGAGAAGGUACGCCACUAUUUUACUGACCCUAACUAUAUAGUUGAAGACUCUAAGCAGGUCAGGACAAAAAGAAGACGACGCAACCGCAACCAGAGGAGGCAAAUCAUCAAGGAUGGAUGGGCAGACUACGAAGGAGAAGUUGUAAGGUCUGAAGACAUACAACUUGAACAGAACUGUCCUGAGGAGACCGUAGCACCGAGUCAGGUGUGGAGAGAGAAGAUAGUUAUACAUGAAGAGCAAGCGCCACCGGAACCACCGACUACGCCAUCCAGCGAAUCCCAAGACAAUUGAGAAAACGGAGACUCCCGUUCGGAAGACUUAAAAACACCGAACGCCUUGCCAAGAGGUAAACUUGAUAGUUAUCCUUUUCCUUUCAAUUAUUUAAAAUAGUUUGCUUAGUUAAUCAGGUUCAUAUCAUCUUAAAAAGAAAAUAAAAAUGUUAAAAAUAGUAAGCCCCAUGUGAGUAUGCUCAUGGCAUAAAAUCCAUAAGUACAUUCACUGUGGUGGCAUAAAAACAAAAUAAAUAUAUUGCUGACCUAUAAAAAUGAAAAUAUAAAAAUAAAUUUAUGAUCCUACCAAAGAGUGUAACAUUUAUUGAGGAGGCUCAACAUGAUAAAGUCUAGAUAUUUAUGCUAACACUUAACUAGUUCCACAAAGCUUUGUUGUCUAUUUGAGCUCCACAGAAUUCAAGGAUCAAAGAAGACUAGCAGAUGGAGGACAUCAUAAUCGUUGUCAGGGUGCUGCCGACAUUCAAAUACACCUCCACCACUUGCUAGCUACAUCAAAAGGAAUUACGAAAAAAAUCCAGCUUGGGGGAGAGCACCUCCAUUUAUCCAGCUAAGUAUUCUACUCACGUUUAUAUUUUACUCAAAUAAUAAAAAGAUGCAUAAUCAUAAAAACCUAAAUAAAGAUUUUGUGCUUAUAUAUAUCUUUGCUUAGUUUGCUAAAUAAAUAAAUAAAUAAAAAUUUGCUAUGAACCCUCAUGAUAAGCUCUCACAUGGAAAGAUGAAUAGUUGCUUUGCCAUGACUAUUUCUCAAAAUUGAAAUCUCUCUCAAGUUUAGGCAUCACUGUUAUUAAUUAAGAUUUGCUCUAAACUUGAACUUGUGGGAAGAGUACUUGAUCUGAAGUCUAAGUCGUUAACGGAUAUGAUAUGGGAAGGUUGAGCUGCUGUUUAUCUGUUCCUAGAGAUGCUAGAAUUCUGGAGAAUUUUAUCUUUGAAAAUCUUUAAAAUAUCACAUGAUGAGUUCCUGUAUGAUGAGAGUUUAAAUUCCUACCACAGCCAUAUAUACAUGCUUGCUAGACUUUGAGCCACACAUUUACUUUUUACUGCUUAUGAGCAUUGAGUGUGGUCAAGCUUGUAGACCCUUAGGAGCUUGUCAUGUGGUUAACUCAAGAUUCACUUGCACGUUCACUCAUACAUGCUACUUCUACUCUGGAAGUACCAUCCACAUAUACCCAUUUCCAUCUCCAGAACCACCCAAAAAUAUUCUACUCCUAAUCCGGGAGAGAAUAGCCAAAAAAUAUUUCUAUUUUUUCCCUGUGAAAUAAAUGCUCAAGUUAUCUUGUUACUACCACUUGCUAUAUUAUCUCAUGAGAUGAGUGCUCUAAAAAAAAAGAAGAAAAAAAGAAGAAUACGAGGAAAUAAAAAGGGGCAAGUGCCCGGAACCUCGAAAGAAAAAAAAGAAGAAAAAGUGAGACGAGAGGUAAAAAUGGACAAGUGUCCGAUAGUAGAAUUAGGGGUACAAGAUACCCACCUGAGAGAAAAGAAAAAGAAAACAUAGAGCAUCUCAUUCUCCUCAAAAAGUUUCAAAAGUGCAAGAAAGGUAUGUAUCCCCUCAAAAGAGCAUAAGUAGAAUUAGACUUUCACCAUUGUUAUCACCAUCAUCACCAUACACCAUUCAUUCGCCACACAUGCACAUCUUGAUUUGACUUAUUGACUUGUUCUUUUGGAUCCAUGGUUUGACUAUGCAAUAAAUGUCUUGUAAGUAUGUAUUAGCUGUCUCCCACCUAUGAGCUCCAGAUAUCAAAAGCCUUAUUAGAGUAGGGUGAGAGAGAAGGCAAUGUCACUAUGCCUUAUACCACAAAUACCACAUACUUUGAGAGAAGGCAUAUACCAUUACUGCCUUGGUAAGGAUCCAGAAAUACCACAAAUGAGAGACUAGAGAGAGUCAUACAAGGAAUCUCUGAGUUUUAUUUGAAAAUCUGCAAAAACCCCAGAGCUAUAGCUGAUCAAGAAUAAGAGACAUGGCACUUGACUAGACUGUUCUAUCUUUUAACUACUCAAGACAGAAGUGACGGUUGCAAGCCCCAUGGUGGAAGGUAAUAUGAGUAAGUUUAAAUCUUAACAGUUACCCUAACCCAGAGAUGAGAUCUUGUUUGAAUGCAUGUAUAUCUUAAAGGUAUGAAACCACUGCAGAAACUCUUGAGUUCAUCUUUGCUCAGGGACGAGCAAAGGUUAAGCUUGGGGGAGCUUGUUGACGGUCCUUAAUGCUCACAUUUAACCAUCAACUAAUCAUGGAAAAGGAUCCAAAUGCAACCAACACCUAGACUUAGGGUUUUAUCUGACAGAAUUCCACGAGUUUUGGUGUUUGUCUAUUUCUGCAGGGGGUUAUCAGGAAAUAUGGAAGAAAGGCCCACACGUCGGGUUUACAUAGAGAUAUUGACGUGCUGCGCAAUUUUCUAUCAUCUAGAAGACUCCAGAAGCCACGGGACCGAAGCGGAGGCUGAGAGGACACAGGGACAGGGCGCCCGCCCACCUUUCCUGGGCGCCCGCCCUCAGCCAGAGUCCAAUCAGGACUCUCUUUCGGGAUAUUGUUCCACCGACCUAAAGGAUCAAGGAAAACCACACGAUCAAUGUCGGUUUGAUCCAACGGCCCAGAUUCACUUGAAGGGACUAUAAAACCAGACCCCCCUGGCCCCUGGAGAUCAUACCUCUUCUACAGAAUCAAAGUUAGGGUUUCAAUUCUUCAUCCAAGUAGAGAGGAUCCCUCUAGUUCUUCUAGUUCUACCUCUAGUUCAUCUAGAUCUAGUUCUAGUUCAUCUAGUUCUAGUUCUAGUUCCUCUAGUUCUAGUUCUAGUUAGUUCUAGUUGUAAUCUAGAAAAUAGGGAGAGAGAAGAGGAGAGCGGAGGAGGAGCCGGAUCUGUCGGAUCUUCCUCAACAUUAUACUUUUGCAGCAUCUGGUUCGUUCUUCAUCGUUCUCCAGGUUCUUCAAUUCAAAAUUCCUGAGUUCUCUAAUUACUUUUAUUUACAUUCAAGUUAUUUAUUGGAUUCUCGCUUGCAUCAAGUGCUCUAGUCUUUAUAACGCUAGAGUAGUAAUUAAUAGAUUAGACGUGGUGUUUAGUCUUGCGAUUACCUGGAAUUGCACCCAAUCCUGCGGAUUGUUGUGGUAGCCUUAGGGUAGUGACAGCCCUAACGGUCGACGUAUUCCACCACGUUCGGAUCGGUGUUUGUAGGACCGUAGUCAGACCUUCCUAGCCCCCUUCUCAUCUUUUUCUGUGGUUAGUGCUCUGAUGUCCCGAUAUAGAUAAUCUUGAAGUAAUUCUUGAUUCUUGGAUCAACUAGAGAACUCUCAGGAAACUUCCUCUCUUCCCACCAAAAAUAAUUAUAUAGUUAUCCUUGGGCGAUCUUGGAUCUUAAUUAGUACACUCACGUUCUCUGUGGAAAAUCGAUACUCUGGAAUACUCCCGGGUGAAAGCUACAUCGGUAUCCGUGCGCUUGCGGAUUUUUCUGUUUGCGUUUAAAAUACCCAACAACCUCUUCCUUCUCCAGGACCUCAGGCCUCAUCCUGGUCGGGUCCUGGCUUCCGGCGUACUCAUACGCCGAGUGCACCCUCUUCUGGCAGGGCAUCACUCGGCGGCAAACAAAGUUCCCGACCACCCCUAGCCCGUCCAAGCGCGACCAGUCGAUCAGCUUCAUCAGGUCUUCUACUUGUCCGUCGAAUUCUGGGCGGUCGGUCCAACUGACCCUCUUCUCGGGGAUGUACCCCACGUCACAGAACGUGGAGCUGCCCGGCUCCUCCCUGAUGUAGAACCAAUUCUUAUACCACUCGGUAAGAGAGGUAUUCCAAGGGCAGUUCAGGUACCGGUUCUUCAUCCCGUCCCGGAGAUUGAGGUAUACUCCACCUGCAAUCUUGGAGCCUCCAACUGCUCCCUUCUUCCUUAAGCAGAAAAGAUAACGAAAGAGAUCGAAGUGCGGCUCUAUGCCAACAUAGGCCUCGCACAAAUAUGAUCCCUUAGCAGAUGCAUCUAGGCACUCACGAGCCUUCUGGGUUAAUCCAUGGUAGAAGGUCUGCAUAAGUAACCAUGUGGCCAUUCCAUGGUGAGGACAAUCUGAUAUGUAUCCUUGAAAAUGCUCCCAUGCUUCUAGAAUGGUUUUUGUCUUAUGCUAUUGGAAACUGACAAUAUUUUCUCUUAAGGUAGCUGUCUUGCCCAUUGGGAAAAACAUUGAUAGAAAGGCAUCUGACAAGUUCGUCCAGUUGUUGAUGUUAUCUUGAUGAAUGUAGAACCACUUCCUCGCUUUUCCUUCUAGUGAGAAUGGAAAAAGGCGAAGCAGUAUGACGUCUUUGUCGACUCCGUUGAUGUGGAUUGUGCUUCCAAUCUCUAAGAAAUUCUGUAAGUGUGCACUAGCAUCUUCAUGUGCCUUUCCACUGAAUUGUGUAGCUUGUACCAAAUUGAUGAGGCUGGACUUGAGCUCGAACUCAGGUGCUCCUUCUUCUACUGCAAAUCUUGGACCAGUUGGAAUGUUCUCAAGGCUUGGAGCAGAGAAUUCUCGUAGGGUCUUCUCUGCCAUAGCAAUUGAUACCUAGAUUCUUCUUUCAUUCUUGACUGCUUUGGUUCUGAUGAUGAAGAGUUGAAUGUACCAAAGUCAAUCCUGAUAUACCCUGUAUAAAAAUAUAAACAUAGAAAAACAACAGGGUGAACCUGCCAAAGCAGAGGUGCCUUGUUAUGAUUUCUCACUUAGUAGUUGUUUUAUGCAAUUAUUUCUCUAUAGUGUAGUCUAAUAUUUUAUGUGAAUAACCUUGACUGACUUCCUGACUUUCCUUACUGUUAACUAUGUGUUCCCUUUUGUGUGGUCCCCGGCAACGGCACCAGAAAUGCUUGUUGACACUAGCUAACACCACUUAGAUACUAGGUUGUCAUCCCCAGCAUGGUGCUAGAGUGUACAAAGGUAUUUAUAAAUGUAAAGGCUCUCUAGAAAAUAAUCUAUUCUAUCCGCAAGCGCACAGAUAAAACACCUCAUUGUAGCAUUUCACCAGGUAAAUAUUCCAGGUAUCGUUAUUUAUAAUUUUGCCUAAGAGAACAAGGGGGAUGAAUAAAAUCUAUCAAGUCAUAGACUAGAGAUAAACUUGCAGGAACAUGAUCACUAAUGAGGAACUCAUCACAUAGUCACUUACUUUGGUAGGGGGUAAGCCAUAAUAAUAAUGAUAAUGAAAUAUAAGCUCAUUGGUAAAUAACACAGCGAUUAGAAAAUAGACUACUCCUCAUAUAUGUAAGGUGACGUCAGAUUAGCUAGAGAAUGGAUUCUAAGUUAUCUACUACCUACUAAGUCACAAUCUACUCUAGUUAUCUACAAUAUCAUAUAUAGCAUAAAAGACUCUUCAUUCAUGUAUAAGGAACAUUGCUAAAGUAAAUCAGAACAUCGUAAGACUUACUCCGCAAUACAAAUUCUGCCUGUCCUAUCAACGGAGGGUGGACUAUAUAAGAAUCAACGAAGCUGUCACUAUUGCGAACUACCACACGACCCGGCCAAUAGGAUACAUUUGAAGGUAAAUAACAUCUAAGCACCACGCCCACAUCUGAUCUACCACUUAACUCCCACGCGUCAAGAGCUAAGCGCUUUGCAAACUUAUACAUAAACUCAUUAUCAAUCAUAACUAUAUCAAAUAUAGAACUAGAGCAAACUAAGAGCAUAAUAAAUAGAGACAUAAUGCAAUUAGAACAAAGUAAUAGAGAAAGAUAUGAAAUAAUACCAAUCUUUAUUAGCUAAGAUCCGAAUCCAGAGCAUAGUGCUCUACUUCUCUAAUUCUAUCUAUUCAAUCCUCUAAACUUGAACGAUUAGGGAGUAGCUAAUUCUAAUUCUCUAUGGGAGAGAAACUCUAAACCCUAAAUUUUAUGGCUACCUCUGAUAAUGAUUUCUCCUCUCUCCCCCUAGGGUGGAGAGGCUUUGAUUAUAUAGUCCAUUCAAGUGAAUUUGUGCCGUCAGAUCAAACCGACAUUGAUCGCACGGUUUUCCUUGAUCCUUUAGGUUGGUGGAGCAUAAUCCGCGAGAUGGGUCCUGAUUGGACUCCUGGCCAGGGCGGGCGCCCAAGGGGGGAGGGCGGGCGCCCUGCCCCCGAGCCCGUCCGGUCUCCUAUUCGUUCCCGUGGCUUCUGGACUCUUCUAGAGUAAGAAAAAUUGCGCGGCACAUAAUUAUCUCGUUGUAAACAUGACAUGUGGGCCUUCUCUCCAUAUUUUUUGAUAACUCCCUGCAGAAAUAGAUAAACACCAAAGCUCGUGGAAUUAUAUCAGAUAAAACCCUAAUUCUAGAUGUUUGUUUCAUUUGGAUCCUUUCCUUUGUUUAUUUGAAGGUUAAAUUUAGUACUUAAGGACCGUCAACAAUGGGUUGAUUCCCCAAGGCAUGUUGAGCGAAUCGGUUAGCUUCUUUAUUAUGGAACCGAGGAAUAUGCUCUAAUCAGAAAUCCCUGAAUUCCUUCAAUAAUUGCACACACCUUUCAUAAUACUCUAUCAAAACUUCACUUCGGCAUUCAUAAAUCCCAGCCAAUUGAUUUAUAACAAACAUAGAAUCACCAAAAAUUUCGAUAGCAUCGGCAUGAAUUUCCUUUAAUAACUCUAGCCCUUUGAUCAGAGCUCAGUACUCAGCUUGAUUGUUUGUCGACGUGGCAGCGAUCGGUAACGAUAACUCAUGUUUCUUUCCUCGAGGAGAAAUCAAUACUAUACCGAUACCUACCCCUCAAUCACAUGUAGAUCCAUCAAAGAAGAGUGUCCAAGGAACAAUUUUCUAGAGCAUCCACUACACCACAAUGUUGAGUUACAAAAUCGGCCAUGAUCUGCCCUUUAACCGCCUUAGCCGAUUCAUAACGCAAGUCAAAUUCUGAUAAUGCUAGUAUCCAUUUGCCAAUUCUACCACUCACAAUCGGCAUUGACAACAUGUAUCUGACUACGUCAUCUUUGCACACGACAGUGCAUUCGGCCGUUAGCAAGUAGUGUCUUAACUUGACACAACAAAAGUACAAGCAUAAGCAUAAUUUUUCAAUUACCGAAUACCUUGUGUCAGCAUCCACCAAUCUUCUACUCAAAUAAUAAAUUACACGUUCUUUCCCUUCAAAUUCUUGAAUGAGAGCUGAACCAAUGACCGCCUCAUCGGUAGACAAAUAUAAUCUGAAGGGCUUUCCAUGCUGAGGUGGGACCAAGAUCGGAGGAUUUGCCAAAUAAUUCUUGAUUUCAUCCAAGGCCAAUUGUUGCUCUUUUCCCCACACAAACUCCUGAUCGGCUUUUAAUUUAAGCAAAGGGCUGAAAGCACGAAUCUUACCCGACAAAUUAGAUAUAAACCAUCUGAUAAAACUAAUCUUGCCGACCAGUGAUUGAAGUUCAGUUUUGUCGGUGGGAGCAACUACUUUGCCGAUCGCAUCAAUAGAUCUCCUGCUAAUUUCAAUACCUCUCUGAUGCACCAUGAAACCUAAAAACUGACCUGUCGAUAUACCAAAUGCACAUUUAUUAGGGUUCAUUUUCAAACCAUGUUUCCUUGUGCAUUCCAACACUUUUCGCAAAUCGGCAAGAUGUUUUGUGAAAUCUCCAGACUUAACCACCACAUCAUCAAUAUAGAUUUCCACCAAUUUGCCGAUGAACUCAUCGAAAAUAAAAUUCAUGGCCCUCUGAUAGGUAGCACCAGCAUUUUUCAAGCCAAAAGUCAUGACUAUCCAUUCAAACAAUCCAACAUGACCAGGACAUCUAAAUGCAGUCUUGGGAAUAUCCUCCUUAGCCAUGAAUAUUUGAUUAUAUCCUGCAUUGCCAUCCAUGAAACUAAUAAUUUGAUGUCCAGCUGCAGCAUCAACUAACAAAUUAGCAACCGGCAUUGGAUAACCGUCCAUCGGCGUGGCUUUAUUGAGAUUUCAAAAGUCGAUGCAAACACGAAGUUUUCCAUUCUUUUUUAGACAGGAACGACGUUAGAAAUCCAUUCGGCAUACCAACACUACCGAAUAAACUUAGCCUCAAUGAGUUUGGUUAUUUUGGCUUUAAUAUCGGGAAGAAUAUUAGGAUUACAUCGGUGUGUUGGUUGCUGAUGUGGCCGAAAUCCAGACUUAAUAGGCAACCGAUGUUCGACAAUCGAUCAGUCUAAACCAGGCAUCUCAGUAUAAUCCCAAGAAAAGCAAUCUUUAUAUUCCUUUAAAAAAUUGGUUAAUUGCUGCUUACAUUCAGAAUCUAACUUAGCACUAAUAAAAAUCGGCCUUGGCCUAUCACCAUUACCUAUAUCUACCCCUAUUAAAUCAUCAGCCAAUGUAAACCCCUCUCCUAACUUUCCAUCAUCGGUGAACCUAUCCAUUUAAACUCUUCAUCCGAACUAACUGCUUGGAUCGGUGGAAUUUCAUAAUCGGCGACUUUGAGAAAAUCUUUCUCGUAAAUCUCUCCUGAUAUGCAUCUGGUUCGCUCAUAGGUGUCUAACUCCGCCGAAGCAAUGACAUAUGAAGAAUCUCCUAGGACAAUCUCAAUUUUGUCACCUACCCACUGAACAAGGCAUUGAUGCAUUGUAGAAGGAAUGCAGCAAUUGACAUGGAUCCAAUCUCUCCCACAAGUAAAUUAUAUGCACCUUUUCCACUAACAACAAAGAAGGUCGUCGGCAAGGUUUUGCUGCCGAUGGUUAACUCAACACAUAUAGCUCCCUUAACUGGAGACACAUUUCCUUCAAAAUCAUUUAGCAUCAUAUCGGUCUUGGUCAAAUCUUGAUCUCCUUUGCCAAGCUUCCGAUACACUGUAUAGGGCAUAAUGUUAAUUGCAGCUCCCUCAUCAAUGAGUAUUUUGGAAAUCGGCUGCCCAUCAACCCGGCCUUUGACAAACAAAGCUUUAAGAUGCUGUCUUUCAUCAUCGGAAGGCUUCUCAAAAAUAGCUGUCAUUAGAUCAAGUGCCAUCUGAGCUAUCUGAUCAGGGAAAUCUACUUCCUCAUCAUCGCUAGAGGGUGCAAGAAACUCUAUCGGCAACAUAAACACCAUGUUUACAUUUGCCGAUGGCCCUUUUCCCUUAUGAUUUGAUUGCUGUCAAUUCUCACACUUAGAAGAAUUUUCUUCCCUAUUCAAAUCUUCUUGACGUUCUCGCUGCAUCCUUCUUUUCUAUGUCCUUGUUAAUCCUUCUAGCCACCAUUGAGGAAGCUUUGUUUUCUGCACUGGCUGAUAGCAAACUUCCCUUGACUCUACCCAAUGAGUAUUAGCAUCUCUACAGAAUAUAAAUUCAUCAAGAACCCGUGCAUUUGCCAUUUCUUCAAGUUCUUCUUGGUUUCUUAGAAAAUGACCAACACGUUCACCAAGCCUGUCAUGCACGCUAAGCCUGCCCCCCAGCCGAUCAUGAACUGACAUUCUCCCCCUGAUCGGCUCAUUGAAGCGUCGAUCAUUGUUCUGAAAUCGUCGAUCUGACCGAUCAUACCGAUUAUAACCAUUGCAUUUAGGACAAUCUCUGAUAGUCGGUAAUUUAAUAUUUUGUUCCCAGCAACGAAUAAAGAACGGGCAAUUCCAAUGAUCUUUAUGCCGAUUCCACUCUUGUCGGCGCCUUUCUUCUUCUCGGCGUCGAUCCUCUUGCUAACGGCGAUACCGAUCUUCACGUUGCUGCUAUCUUUCUCGAUGCCGCCUAUGGGUAAUCACAACACCAGAUCGAGGAGUUCAUCCAGAACUACUACCUUCCCUUAUCAAACCUUUGCCUUUAGCGUCAUCAAUGGUCACUUGAUGCUGAGGAUCUACCAAUGCGCUUUUUUUGGCCGCUUUUGAUGUUAGAGCCUUAGUCUUACCUUUGGCGUCCAACAUGUUUGCAGGGAAAGGAUGAUGAUCAAUUUUCAUCGGCUCCUAGGCUUUGGAAUUAUCAAACUUGAUUCUCCUAGAUUCUAUAGCCGAUUGCAAGUGCUGCCUGAACACUUUGCACUCAUUUGUGCUGUGUGACGUUGCAUUAUGCCAUUUGCAAUACUUGAUUUUCUUCAAUUCCUCUACCGAUGGAAUCACAUGAUUAGGUGACAAUUUAAUCUGCCCCUCCUGAAGCAAGAAAUCAGAUAUCCUAUCGGCCUUGGUGAUAUCAAAAGCAAACUUCUCUAGCUCCUUUUGGCCAAAAGGACAUGACAUCGGCUUUUUGUUUUUCACCCACUCUACAAAGCCGAUGACUGGUUCUUCAUCAGAAUCUGAACUCAUGGCCUCAUCAACAAAUAACACUUUCUUAUUCCAAGCUUUUCUAGGUUCAAAAGCCUUGAUAUCUUGAUCAGAAAUUCUUUGCACCAAAUGACUCAAACUCUCAAACUCUUGAGAAGCAUAUUUGUCUAUAAUAUGUGGCAGCAACCCUUGGAAAGCCAGAUCGGCCAACUGCCGAUCAUCUAGAACCUGACUGUAACACUUGUUCUUUACAUCUCUUAGCCUCUACACAACUCUCUACCGAUUCAUCAUUACAUUGCCUCAGUCUAACUAAAUCGAUAAUCUUCUUUUCAUGAACCCCAAAGAAGAAAUACUUAUGAAACUGCUUCUCCAGAUCGGCCUAGGUAAUAACUGAGUUUGGAGGCAAUGAAAUGAACCAAGUGAAUGCCGUUCCUGAUAGAGAUGAUGAAAACAAACGAACUCUUAAUUCAUCUCUGUUGGCAGCUUCUCCACACUGGAUGAUGAACCGAUUAAUAUGUUCCAUAGUUGACGUAUCAUCUUGCCCAGAGAAUUUAGUGAAAUCUGGUACCUUGUACUGAUUUAGAAGCGGAAUCAAAUCAUAUGCAGGAGGAUAUGGUGUUCGAUGAGAAUAAGUAUUGACCUUCGGUUUUAUCCCAAAUUGAUCCCUCAUAACUUCUGCUAUCUUAUCGGCCCAAUAGGCAUCGGCAUCUUGCCGAUGUCCGGGUUGGAGUUCUGGCACUUGCUGAUAAGCUUCCACGUGUCUCUGAGGUGCACGUUCUCCAAGAAACAUAACAUUUGCCAUAGCUUGCUGACCACCGAUCUGCUGAGCGAGAUUCAUCGGCUGAUUGGCCGGUCCUUGAUUUUGAAAACCGACCUGCAUCUGUCCUUGCUAGAAUCCCGUAGUCUGAUGAUUCUGUUGUGUCAUAUGUGGAAAGACAAACUACCCUGUCCAUCCAUUGUUAGCAUUCAUCAGCGCAGGUCUUGCCGAUGGCUGAUAAUUGGCUGUCAUUGCUGGGUUGACAUACCCUGUUUGAGUUAUAAAUCUCUGUUGAGUCAGCAAUGGAUCUGCCAAUGAAUUUGCAUUAGGCAUCUGGAACGUUGGCAUUUGAAAACUCCCAGUAAUAGGCCUUGCAGUAGUAGUUGUAGAAUACUAAGGAAUUUGAGUCAUCGGCGAGACUGGAGGUGCCGAUGUCAUAGGAGCUUUUCCUGCUAAGUCAGCCACCUCAGAUGUUCUAGAACUGUUUGCAAAAAAGUCCGGAGGCAUACCAUAUCCCCACCAAUUGGGAGGAACUUGACAAUUCUGAAAUACAGAUCCUAACAUUGCCGAUGCCGAUAGAUCUGUGUUAAGCUGAACCCGUCCCUUUGAUGUUGUUGGAUUAGGCCUCAUUGGUGUAGACUGCGCAUUAGUCAACCCUAAUGUGCUUGGAGGAGAAGUAGCUUCUAUACCAGGAACGGCCGGAGGAGCCGAUGGAGCUGCAACCGAUGACAACCUUGGCUGAUGAUAGGCCGAGCCAACAUAUAAUGGUGGUGCCUGUCCUUCUUUAAAAGUUCUAGCCACAACAUUGUAAACAGUAUUGGACAACACACUGGAUUGAUUGAUCAAAGCACGAUUAAUAGCAUUGUCAACCAUAUCUUGCAAUUUACCAGUUUUGGCAUCAAAAGUAACCAUCGCCAUCAUCAACAUCAGCCAUCGCCAGACUUAGCCAUAUCUUCCUCCUAUUGCCUUGUCAUUGGUAUCAUAGGCUAUCGGUAAUCUCCUUAUUGGCCAAACACAUCACCUCUCUGACUACCGAUUCAAGCUUCAUUGACUAUCCCGAUUUGUGUCCAAAAACAGUGUCAACAGGUGCGUGCGUCCGGUGCCUAACCCUAGGCACCCAGACGCACUAACCCAAGUCAGCACCACCGGACGCACUCACAGAGCGUCCGGUGCUAGCGUCCGGUUCUGCUUCAGCACCCAAACUUCGUCGAAACGCGAACUUUCCAAAACGAAGUUUGGUUCUCUUGAUCUAAGGAUUUUCUCAGAACUGCCUAGUGCUAUGUUUACCAAGUGUGCACCACACCUAAACCUAAAGCCUUGCCUAGGUCAAGCUACCCGCUCAAUGCCCCAUUAAUAGUACGGUUAAAGGAAAAACAAAGUCCUAAUCUACUCUAGGUGCCCUUCUUCACCAUAUGGCACCUAGACCUAGUCUUGUCUCGACGAUGUCCAACCAUCCUUUGAAAACCGAAACAAUUUCCACCAUUAAGUCGGCAUGAAUGACCUAGUCCAUCGAUCAUCAUUACCAUGACCUAACACAAAUGACUUUGCCUCUACAAAACACAUGUUAGUCAUAGUAAUCAACAUUGUCAUUAAUCGCCGAAACUCGUUAGGGGCCUAGAUGCUUUCAAUCUCUCCCUUUUUGGUGAUUGAUGACAAUGACCUCGAGUAUGUUUGAAGUGAGGUUUUCAAAUGGCUUGGUUUCUAUAAGCAUGUGACAAUAAGAUCAAAAAGGGAUAAGUCAUGCUUAUAUCAACCAAGCCUAAUAUCUUGCAUCCAAAUAUGUAAGAUAUGUACAACAGGAUACAACAACGUAAGGCUCAUAACAUAUCGGAGUAAAAAUGUGGAAGCAAAGCAAUAUGAGCCAAAAACACAUGACAUGGAUAUAUCAUCAUAAAGCAAAAGUCAUGUCUCACAAACAUAAAGCAAAGUAUCACACAAGACAAUAUAUCUCACAAAUGCACAAAGUAAGCAUGAUGCAGGAAGUGUAGCACACAAAAGAAUCAAAAGACCCACUCACUAACUCCCACUAAGUCUAACAUACUCUCACUCUGUCCCCCUUUGGCAUCAAAUACCAAAAACCUAAGGAUCUGUAGGCGGAGAUGGAGCAGAGGAGUCACGUGGCACUGCUUCAAACUGAGCUGGGUCGUCAUCGGUGCCAUCACCAGUGGACUCUGAAGAAGCUGCCUGACCCUCUAAAGGUGCACGAGCUAGUCAAGCAGUUUGGGUCGGCUCGCUGUGCUCUAUAGUUGUCUGUGUUGCUGCCUGAGUCUCUAGCAUGGACUUAGUGGCUAUCACUGAGGUCUCUAGUACAGUAGAGGAAGGAGCAAGCUGUUCAGACAAAGCCACAAAUGAUGACAAAUGCUCUGUAGUGGUAACUGGCAAAGUAAAAGCUACAGGAGCCUGCUGUGGAUGUGGAGUAGGCAUGCCAGUUAGAGCACUAUAUGAAAAAGACAAGUCUAGCCCCGCUGAAGAAUCCUGAACCAACUGAGAGGCGGAGGUGAACUGCGUUGUGAAGCCUAAGUGUAGAGGAGUGAACUGAGGCGUCUGCUCAAAUCUAGAAGAGAUAGCACCCUAAGACACCUAGUACUGUGGAGUGGCAAACGGCUGGCUGUGAGCAGGAAGCUAGAGAGGUGACUAUGACUAACUCUAAAGCCCACUGUUGACACUUGCUAACACCACUUGAAUACUAGGUUGUCAUCCCCAGCAUGGCACUAGAGUGUACUAAGGUAUUUAUGAAUAUGAAGGCUCUCUAGAAAAUAAUCUAUUCUAUCCGCAAGCGCACAAAAAAAUACCUCAUUGUAGCAUUUCACCAGGAAAGUGUUCCGGGUAUCGUUAUUUAUAAUUUUGCUUAAGAGAACGGUGAAAGUGAAAGCAGGGGUAAAAUCUAUCAAGGCAUAGACUAGAGAUAAACUUGCAAUAAUAUGAUUACUAAUGAGAAACUCGUCACACAGUCACUUGCUUUUGCAGGGGGUAAGCCAUAAUAAUAAUGAUAAUGAAAUAUAAGCUCAUGGGUAAAUAACACAGCGAUUAGAAAAUAGACUACUCCUCAUAUAUGUAAGGUGACGUCGGAUUACAUAGAGAAUGGAUUCUAAGUAUCUACUUUCUACUAAGUCACAAUCUACUCUAGUUAUCUACAAGAUUAUAUAUAGCAUAAAAAACUCUUCAUUCAUGUAUAAGGAACACUGCUAAAGUAAAUCAGAACAUAGCAAGACUUACUCCGCAAUACAAAUUCUGCCUGUCCUAUCAACGGAGGGUGGACUAUAUAAGAAUCAACGAAGCUGUCACCAUCGCGAACUACCACACGACCUAGCCAAUAGGAUACAUUUGCAGGUAAAUAAUAUCUAAGCACCACACCCACAUAUGAUCUACCACUUAACUCCCGCGCGUCAAGAGCUAAGCGCUUUGCAAACUUAUACAUAAACUCAUUAUCAAUCAUAACUAUAUCAAAUAUAGAACUAGAGCAAACUAAUAACAUAAUAAAUAGAGAGAUAACAGAAUUGGAAUAAAGUAGUAGAGAAAGAUAUGAAAUAAUACCAAUCUUUAUUAAUGAAGAUCCGAAAUCCAGACGUAGUGCUCUACUUCUCUAAUUCUAUCUAAUCAAUCCUAUAGAACUUGAAGGAACUGGGAGUAGCUAAUUCUAAUUCUCUGUGGGAGAGAAGUUCUAAAACCCUAACUUUGAUGGCUUCCUCUGAUAAUGAUUUUUCCUCCUCCCCUGGGGUGGAGAGGCCUUGCUUAUAUAGCCCCCUCAAGUGAAUGUGGGCCGUCGGAUCAAACCGACCUUAAUCGCACUGUUACUCUCGAAGAUUAGAGGCGGUGGAGCACGAUCUAGGAGACGGAGCCUGAUUGGUUGCUGUAGGUGGGUGGGUGCCCAAGGGGGUUGGGCGGGCGCCCUGCCCCCGGGCCCGUCUGGCCUCUCGUUCGUUCCCGUGGCUUCUGGACUCUUCUGGAUUGAGGAAAAUUGCGCGUCACAUAAUUAUCUCGUUGUUAACCGACGUGUGGGCCUUCUCUCCAUAUUUUCCGAUAACCCCCUACAGAAAUAGACAAACACCAAAACUCGUGGAAUUCUGUCAAAUAAAACCCUAAUUCUAGGUGUUUGGUGCAUAUUAAUCCUUUUCCAUGUUUAGUUGAUGGUUAUAUUUAGUACUUAAGGACCAUCAAUAAAGUUCCCCAAGCUUACCCUUUGCUCGUCCCUCAAAUGGAUGAGAAGUUGCUUUGAUGUUUUCUUUCCUGACAGGCACACAUGCUUUUAUAUAAAAUUCUCCCAGAUUAGAGUGAAGUGUCAUGAAGCUUAGUACCUGCACUUAAGUCUUAAGUAAUCGAAAGACAAAAUAAUUAAGUCAAGCACUAUUCCUCCUGUCUAUACUUCACCUUUGUUCUAGAGUUUUGCAUACAUUUUCAAAAAUAAAGCUCAGAGUUCCCAACUAUGAUUCUCUCAAGUCUCUCUAUAUGUGGUAUUUGUGGAUCCUUACAAAGAUGUCACUUACCUAUAGCUAAUGGAAUAUUCAAGUGGAGCUCAUAGGAGUGAAAAAUAGCUCAUACAUAUGUUGUCUAAUCGAGCCAUGGAUCCAAAGGAACUCAGCAUUAAAUCAAGAUGUGCAUGUGUGGUGGAGUAGAUGAUAGUGAUGGUAAAAAUGUAUAAGUGAUAAUAAAACUUACUUCUCAUUGCUCCUCAUAUUGCUAUCUCUCCUCCUCUCUUGAUCUUUACUUUGGGAGAACAUGGGCUAUCUAUUUUUUCAGGUGGGUAGUAAAUACCCCUUAUUCUACUCUCGGACACUUGUCCAUUUUUUCCGCUCAGGUGGGUAUCUUUGUACCCCUAAUUCUACUCUGGACACUUGUCCAUUUUUACCUCUUGUCUCACUCUUUUUUUCUCUUUCUUUUUCGAGGUUCCGGGCACAUGCCCCUUUUUAUUUCCUCGCAUAUUUUUGCAUAACCCAUGCCUCUUCUACAUUGAAUCUUUUUGGAGAGAGAGAAUAACAACACUUGGGACAGUGAGUGAUAAUAUUUUUAGUAAUUUUAAUGAAUGGUGGUGGAUGGUGUUGUAGUUGUGUGCAAGUGAAUAUCUUAAUUUAACCACAUGAAAAGCUCCUAAGGGUCUACACAGCU